CGGCGUCGCGCCCCGUAACGGUCGCCCGGCGGCGGCCGUCGGCUCCGGGUCGCCGCUCCGCUUUCGCCCUCGGGGCCGCGGCAGCCGGCCGUCCCCCGGGCACGUGGUCCCCGCUCGUCGGGAAGCGGCGGAGCCCCGCGGUUCCCCGGCGGAAGGCGAGCGCCGUAGGUGGGUGCCGCAGCCUCGACGGGGAGGCGGCCGGAGGGCAGCGCCGGCGUGCGGCCCCGUCGGCGGGCGACGGCCUCGCGCCGCCCCGCUCCGCUCGUCGCCGGCUCCGGCCGGUUCCCAGAGUUCAGGGAACGUUCUGGAUGCGCGUGGUCGAGGCCCGCGCCGACGGCCGAGCUUCGACGGCCGCGGGGAGAGUGUGAAACGAAUUCGAAAUAGCACCGAGCGGUGAAUCGCGGCGGCCGGCCUGUGGCUGCGGCCGCCAGCGGUGGGAGGAAAUGGGGCGAGCGUGCGCCUGAGGUGAUGGGAGACCCGGGCGCGGGCAGAGCGCGGUGCUCGGGGACGGGAGGAGGGGAAACGGGGAGCCCGCGGAGCGUCUGGCCGAGGGAGACGCUGGGGUGCCCCGAAGGGAGGCGGCCCGGAGCCCCGCAGCGCAGAGCCGGGGCGCGGAGAGGAGGUGAGAGAGUCUGCCUGCGGGAACGGGCGUGCUCAGAGCUGCGGUGCAGGUGCAGCCGCGCCGCCGGCGGAGGGAGGAAGGCAGGUGGGCGAACGGGGCCCCCGGGGCUGCUUCCCGGAGCUUCGUGGUGUGCUCUGACGUGGGGAGGGGGAAGUGCCUCGCACCUGAGGAGCCCGUCUGGGGGGAAGAAGGAUUGCAGGGAGGUCCUUGUUUGCGGUAAUGUUUCUGAAGUAACCAGGGCCUGUCACUGUUGUCUUCAUGUUUAUUUCUAAGCAAGGAAAAUGAGCCUCUUCAGAUUGACUUUUGAACUCUUAGGCUUAAACGGUCCACACUGAACUAAAUAGGAAUUUGGCACAGACGAGGAGUACCUCUCAUAAAUCUUGUAGACAUACAAGCUGCUUCUUCUCCCUUUAAGUGCGUUACUUGAAGGCUGGUGGUCCCUUAGCUCACAGCCACCUGACUCUCGUUUGGCUGAAGAUAUUCCUGGCCAAGGCCUGAGCUGCAUCAAGGAUAACAAGAGUGCGCGAAGCCUCUGGUGCAGGGUGUUAAUGGGUGGAGUCAGCGUGGCACCCGUAGGGUUUCACCAGCGCUAGCAAUAGUUUUCUUCUUUGUUGUGUUAGUGGCAGUAUGGGAACUGGUUCCGUGAGCAACCUAGCAGAAGCGAUAUAACUGUUCUACAACAGCUGUGUCGCGUUCAUUUCUCUGGGUUAUUACAUGGGUUAUUCUGAAAUAAAGGUGAUUCUAGUGUAUGAUAACGGAAUAACAGUCUCAGAAUGAAAUCACUUUUACUCCCAGGCAGUCUCACCACGGAGGGUCACACAGGUGGAGCUGUAGAGUCGGAAGUACACAGCUGAAGGCCUGUCUGUUUCUUUCCCUGGGUAGGCAGGUGCUCAUGGUUUUCAAGCAGAUUGUGUACUUUUGCUCCGCUUCUCGCUUAUUGGAAUGGGAAACUGGAACUCGAUGGGAAGCAGUGGCUGUGGGGCAGAUACCCUCUUGAAAAAACAAGUGUUCAGUGAAAAUUUCUGUUGAGCGGUUACAGCCCGGUCCUCGCAGUUCCUGUCUCUCUGGAGGAGAGAGGAAGUGAGGAAUAUAAAUCUAUAUGAUCAAAGUAAUACAGCUAUUAGUAAAUAACCUUUCUUCCUCCUUCAAGUUCUGCCUGCAUAAAUAUCCGUUUCUAUGUAUACCUGUACCAGUUCUCAGAGAAGGUGAAUUUGAGCUGUAUUAAUUAAAUAGAGAAUGAUUUCCCGGGAUGGGAAGCUGCCAAACUAAGAAAGAGCUGACAGUCUGUGAAGGUCAGAUUCUACACAGAAGUUUUGCACAGAUCCAUGCUGAAGACAUUUCCCAGAAAUUCUGUGGAAUGUACUAUUGACCUUGUAUAAUGUGAAGUGCUUGAAACUUUAAGCUCUGUAGCAAUAGAGGGAUAUAAGGAUGUAUAAGCAAGACUUGCAGAGGGUCGAAUGUUUUGUAUAACCCCUAUAUAGAAAUUGCUGAUCUUGGUUUUUUUUGGUUUUUUUUUUCAUGCAAUUUAAUUUUAUGUUCCUUUCCACACUUCAAAAAAGUACACGAUGGCUUCUUUAACAAAGUAUUCUUUUCAAGCUGGUUGAUACAGGAAUUUAUUUAUAAACCUUUUUAAUAAUGCAAAGUUAAGGUCAGUGUUAGAAUAUGACGUUUCAGAGUGUCAACUUCAGGUGACUUUCAACCUCUCAUAAACAGAGAUAAGGGAAUACUUAGGAAGUAGAAACGUAUACAUAGGAAAUAUGGUUAAUAAACACAUCAGUCUUCUAAUGCAACCUGGGUUCUGUCAUGUGAAGUUCAUUACUGGAAAUGAUUGAACGUGAUAAUGCCCUAAGCAGAGAUGAACAAAUUCUGUCAUUUGUUCAGAGUAUGUAGGAUGACAGUGAGGAUCUUUCAGUUACAAUACAGUUACGUGUGUGAGGGUUAGCAAAUUAAAAGGAAGCUAUUGCUGCUACCGUGCUUGAAUGUAGCUGGAUUUCCCUCUAGGUUUGCCCAGGAGAUAAGCAGACCGUACUUAUUGAUACCAUUGCCUUUGUUAACUUUAUUGUUAUCUAUAUCAUUACACAUCAUGGUAUCUGUAUAACAUGAGUGAAAUGUGCCAGGGUACCCUUCAAAGAGCGUAAGGCGAAGACUGUGCAUGCAACUGAACUUACAACUUGUUUUCUUUUUUAAUUUCUGUGGCUCAGCGUUUGAAUUUAAACCAUUGUAAAUAUUUUGCAAGAGAAUUGCAAAAACACACCAAGAAACCUGUUUUAAGAUUUAAAGUUAGUGAAUUCCUUCAUAUUUUGAACAGAAAAGGAAAUACAGCAGCGGCUGUAAUGUCAGUCUGGGGAAGCACAGUUAUCAUAUGAGUUAACCGAUGGGAACGGGAGCUGGGCAAAGGGAUCUCCCCAUUUCCCUGUCAACUGGAUGGAUUGAGACCCAGGAAUCUGGAAAUUUGGAGUGAGAACUUGGGCAGGAAUGUCAGGGUUUGGCAGACCGGGUUUCUGUGCAUCUGGCUUUUUGUUGGGUGAAAGCCUGACUGUCCUGGGAGUCCCAUUAGAAGCGGAGAGUUUGUUCUGGCUCUCGGCUGCAUCACUAGGGCUAGGGUUCCUGUGGCUUCAGAGCAAAGACCUGGAAUAUCAGGAAACCCCGACUCCCGGGCAGUCUCUGUGGCAGGAGUUCCCCACAGCUGUGAACUCUUCAAGUCCAUUUGCUGCUGCAGCUCCUCUGGUAGCGAAGAAGGAAAAUCGCUGGAAUGGUUUCACAAAAGCAUCUUGCGGUAGCCAACACCCUUGGCUGUGUGAAUUUUGGCUGAGAUGGUGAGGAGUGUUGCCACCCAAGUAUGAUUCCACCGCCAACUCCAUCGAUGUUUCACACUGAGAAUGGGUGAAUGUUUGGAGUAUGGAAAUAAUUCAAGGAACAUAAAUUGAUGAAGGUAAAGGGUCACAAAGAAGUUGAGAUGUUUGUUACUACUUCACUCUCUGUAAAGGAUUCAAACCUACAUUAGAAUUGUCAUGCUUCGGCCAGUGCAAACUGCAAUGCAGAGCCUCAAGAUGACCUUCAAGCUACAAAUGUGACUCAAGUACAAAACAAAGAAAUGAAGAUGUGUAAGACAAUACCUACAUUCAUCCUGUUGUUUACAGGAUAUUGUGUUAAAAAUAUGCGUGUUGCUGCAACGGAGCCAGAAGCCAAAUCAAGAACAUCAGUGUCACUUGUUUCUAAUUCCACACAGAGCUUUUCAACAGACACACAAACUUUUCAACUAACGACAACAAGUUCUUACCUUCUAGAUUCAGAGACAGGAAUUGCCGAUUCCUCCACAGCAAUAAGUAAUGCAUCUAUAUUAGUGGCAGGACUCAGCAUUUUCUUUGUGCUGUUCUUUCUUUGUGCAAGUCUUGGUGUUUGGAGUGCACGGAAAUUGUCGAAGCGAGAUUCAUUUGACGUUACUCCUGCUGCCCCAUCUGGUGAAGCUUAGGUGACCUUAAGAACAUCAAGACAUGAGAACCGAUGAGAAAAGAAGAAAUGAAAGUCCCAUUAGUUGGUAGCUAUUUAGAGGGCUAUUAUUUCCACAAGAGCAGAAUAUUAAAAAAAAAAAUAAAUUAUUGAAACUAAAGAAAUCUUACUUUCCAAAGUUGGCACACUUAAGUUAUGUCUAUACUAAUGAAUUAAACUUAGCACAGGAAUAUUGCAACUUCUGAGACUUAGCUGGAAUAAUCCUUGUUUAUGCUUAUGUUGUGUUCUACCUAUUGGGAACAGCUCCUAGAAGGCUCUAACUUCUAAGUAACAGUCAAGUUACAUGAAUAAACAGUAUUCCAGUAGAUGGGAGUUUCCUAGACAUUGUUUAAUUUAUUAGUCUAGAUGCAUAGCCUUCUUGUUUAAUGCUAUUUCUAAAUGAUAUGUUUGAUGUAUCCCUCAUUUAGGGACAGGUAUUUUCAGUGAUUAAUCAAACCUCGCCACUGCAAACUUUAAUUUACUCACAGCACUGUGUUUGGCUGCUGCAUUGUAACUGUAAAAAGCUAGUCAUUUAAAUGUAAGUCUUGUUGUCAUAAGCUUAUUACAGUGCCUUAGGCUGGAGUGUAAAUCUACAGUUGAACUGUGUUACAUUUUCUCAGUUUGCAGAUGCUCCCAUGGGAAAGAAUAUUCUCUUGCCUUGACCUUGGGCAAAAGAUGAGCAUUCACACUGAGUGAUAGUGCAGCGUAAAAUCAUUCUGGCAUGUACUUCUGAGAAACUACAUAAGUUUAAGUGUGUGAAACCCAUGUUGUGACAAAACUACUACCCAAAUUCUGUAGCCCGAACAAAGGCAUGCUGUUGUUUUCAGCACAUCAUCUGUUUUAUAAGAGGGGGAGUAAGGAAAUUUCAGGAAAAACUAUUUUUAUAGAAUGUGAAAAAUAUGUUAAGACUUUGAUAACAUUUAUCCAUUAAAGUCAGCAACUCUCUCUCUGCGGUAUUCACUCCUCUAUAUAACUGAUGAACCUUUCUUAUACAAGUUCUAAUCCUUAAUAAUAAUCAUCAUCAUCUAGACUCAAAGCUGAAACCUAAAUUUUAUUGGAAGGAUACCAUCAUUAUUUUCCUAACUGAGUAGCACGUACUGUGUCAGAGACACACAGUGGCCGGUGACUGUGGUGGGGCUCUGCCUGAGCAAUGUGGGCAGUGUGGGGAAGAAGGGGCCAGCAGACGUUUGCCCAAAUAGCUGCGUUGCUAUAGCACAUCAGGAGAAAGAGAUCUGAAGAGGUAAGUCUGAGGCAGUCUGAGGUUGCUUUAUGAGAACAUUCCUGUGUGAGCUUUAGCAAAGGAACUUCAUUUCUGAAUUUGGGAGCCUGUAGUUCAAGACAAAAUUGUUAGCGUGUUUGUACCUCAUAUUUUUCUGUGAAGAUGAAUACUUUUGAGAGCAUGCAACAUGUGGGUUCCACAGUAAUGAAGCUAUACUGAGAAGUGUACAUAUGAAGGAAAUCACAGAUUAUGUCUGCAAAUCAUACCAAGCCAGUUAUUUUUCUAUUAACAGUAGAGAAGAAUACUGUGCCAGCUUUCAGCUUGAAUUAUCAAUUGAUGUUCUAUGCAAAUAAAAACAUGCAAGUAUUUUUUUUUUGACAGUCUGCGUUUACUUCGUAAGUAAAAGCUUUACUUCAAUACGUUACUUCAUUUACUUUAUUUCAGAGAAGUAAAAUGUCUCUGUACAAACUAAUGGUUGAAAAUUAGCCACUUUUUCUAUUUUCCCAAUACAGAAAGCUGUUUGUUGUGUCCAGUUAUCAGUUUAAGAAUGAGAUAAUUAUAUGAACUGUAUCUGCAGCAGUACUAUUUAGGAUGGGAGAGUUGUGCCAUAGCUGCCUUGUAUAUUAUUUUUUUAAAUGCACAUCGUAUGUGGUUGUGUUUUUUUUCCAUUAAAUAGAAGUUUAUUAUAUGCUUAAAUGCCUUCCUAGAUACUAGAUCAGGGUGCACUAGGCAACAAACUGAAUGUGGAAGAAAUAAGAAUAAACAUUUUUCUAUUUUCCAGGAAUAAUUAAUACAAACCAUGUUUAUAUUGCUUUUUAUUAGAUAUCUGCAAACUUAAAGGUGAAUGACUCCACUUUUGGGAAUGUUUUUGUAGUGGCUGUAUUUUAUCUGAUCUUUUACAGAACUUCUUACUAGAAGUUUAAUACACUAGCUGUUAUUUUGUGUUCACUUUUUUGUUAUUGCAUUGUUUAAUGUUUGUGUAAAAUUCCCUCUAGCUUGGGUGACCAGUCCCGUGAGAGUGGAUGCUGAAUACUUAGCCAAUAAACUACCUGUGAACUUGAAAUUAUUUGGGUAAAUGAAGCCGGUGCAACAUUUGACCUGACACAUGCACUCACAAAGCUGUUUGCUUGGCUCAUUGUGCUGCAAUUUCAUUGUGUGCUGAUCAGCAGAGUCUGUCGUUACAUAUGGAUGGAGUGGAUGACUGUAGCUGCUUGCUGCAAAACACUGGGGAGGUGGUAUGAAAAAGCAAGUUUAAGCAAUAUGACAGCAGAAAAGCCUGUGGAGAAGGACCUGGGGGUCCUGGUGGACGAGAAGCUGGAUGUGAGCCAGCAGCAUGUGCGUGCAGCCUGGAAAGCCAACUGUGUUCUGGGCUGCAUUAAAGAAGGGCUGGCCAGCAGGGAGGAGGAGAUGAUUGUCCCACUCUACUCAGGUCUUGUGAGGCCCCAUCUGGAAUAGUGCAUCCAGGCCUGAGGCCCCCAGCACAAGGACAUGAAGAUCUUGGAGUGGGUCCAGAGGUGGACCACUAAGAUGAUCAGAUGGCUGGAGCACCUCUCCUAUGAGGAAUGGUUGAGGGAACUGGGCUUGUUUAGCUUGGAAAAGAGAAGAUUUCGGGGAGACCUCAUUGUGGCCUUCCAAUACUCUCCAAUACAAGGGAGUGUAUAAACACGAGGGGGAACAGCUGUUUACUAGGGUGGAUAGUGAUAGGACAAGGGGGAAUGGUUUUAAACUGAGACAGGGGAGGUUUAGGAUAUUAGGAGGAAGUUUUUCACACAGAGGGUGGUGAUGCACUGGAACAGGUUGCCCAAGGAGGUUGUGGAUGCCCCAUCCCUGGAGGCAUUGAAGGCCAGGCUGGAUGUGGCUCUGGGCAGUCUAGUCUAGUGGUUGCAUGUAGCUUUAAUAAGUGAAAUGCCAAGGCUAAUUUUAGUGAACUACUUUGAAUGUAUCAGGUAUAUCUAGCAGCAGGGUUUUUUUACCUCCAUUUUAAACUAAAAGAAAAAAUAUUCUGGAGGGCCCUUCAGUUUAUAAUAGUCAGCUUGCUUUAAAUUUUAUUUUGUAGCUCCCUCCAGCAGAAAUGCUGAAAAUUGAACAGUAUAAAUUAGGUAGGUAAGUGCAGAGAUGUGUAAGUCAUCUUGAAAAUUUUCUGCAUUUCACGUACUCUGAUUAACAUAGUCGUGUGGUAUAUAUAGACUGUCAUGAGCUUACUGAGGAGAUUGCUUUCUGUCCAUUUGUUAAAGUUGUUUUGAAGUUGACUGUAGGAUGUGGAUUUUGACUGCCUUAAUGAAUCCUAUUCAACAGCAAAUAUUGCCAGGGAGGAUAUUGUAUCUCAGUAAUUGCACUCUAGGUGGAGAAAAAAUACCUCAGUUCUCCAGAAAAAUGAGAGGUGUAGUCAUAUAGAGUGUUACUUGCUGUACAGAACUGCAGAAGAUGCCAGUGAAGGUGCAGUAACAUGGUCAGUAGAGCCCUAAAGGUUAUGCUUUACUCCAGCUCUGGAAAAUUCUGGGUUCUGAGAAAGAUCAUCAGGAAAAUCACGGUGAGCAUCUGAAAAAAGCUCGGUCCCAGCAGAGCACCCUACGUAAGUCAGGAAUGCGUCAGUGUCUUCUCUCAUUGCAGUUUGCAUGCUGUUAGUCAUUCAAAGAUUCCCCAUAAGAGUAGAAUCACAUGCACUAACUGGAUCAGGAAGUUUCUUACAUGAGAACAUGUGCGCACUGAAUGGCUGAAGUUGGAAGGGACCUCUGGAGGUCAAAUGUGUGCAAGUAUUUUGUAUUUUUCUGUGACAAACAGAUACAAAUUCAAUUCUAAAAAAAAAAUCCAGCUCUCCCUCUUCUGUACAAAAUACAGAAUCAUCACUGCAAUUAGCAAAUCGGACUCAAACUAUGUAGAAGAAUCAAAUAUGUUUAUUCAGUAAGUGGCUGUAGCAGGCUUUCAGAUACAGAGCUGCUGAAAAUGGAAAAGUCUAGUAUAGCAGUAAAGUACAGUGCUCUAGCACUUUCAAACAGUAAAUGGUGGUAGAUACAGUACUCUAAUUGUGAAUUUCCAAGGGUAAACCAGAUAUUGUUUUAUAGAAAUAUAUAUAUAUAUGCCGACAUUAUUUCUUCCUCAUUUAUAAUAUUUGGCUAAAAUCUAGUCUUUGUACAAUUUGUUAAUGGAGAAAUUCCUUUUAAAGUUUCAUUGUUAGGCAUAUUUAUUUCAGUGAAUACAAUUUCACAGUUGUCUAUUAUACUGAGUUUGCAAAAUGUCCUAAGCCAGUCAAAAAUUAGCCUCAGGUUUUUGCUCAUCACAAGUAAGCAUAGAUCUGGUGCCUGCAAGUGAAGUUAAAUGAAUGUCUCUCUCUGAAUAACACAAAGGAAAAAAUAAUCUACCAUCCCUUGGUACACAUUUGCAGUUUUAACAGCAGAUAGGUCAGAUAUGGCAGGGUCUGCAUGUAUGAAUAGCAAUAUUGUUAUUCAUCCAUCAGCCUCAUUACACCUAGGCAGUCUGUCUGUGCCCUGUUAUAGGCCCUUAUUGUAACCUGAGAGUAUGUUUUGAUCAAGAUCCUGGCUUUAAAUAAGUACAUUUUAAGAUGGGAUUUUUGUGGGGAUGAUUAACGUGACAUCCCAAAUUCUGAUCUUACAGUGAUUAGAGGGAGAAUGAAUUCAUCACUACUGCAUUUUGAAUCCUAGCACCUCGAAACACUCAUGUUACUCAGAAAUCUGGAUUUGCUUUUUUAUCUGCAUAUUGAAUUUCAAGACCGAUGGUAGACCUUGUUGAUAGAAAAAUUAUCUGUAAUCAUUGGAAGGAUUCCUAUAAAAACAGUGACAUGGCAAAAAGUUUUAUAAACACAGGAGGACGUAUCAACUUUGAAGUCUGUAUAUUCAGUACUAGACAAAUAGGAAGUUAUGGCUAGCUUAACUUAAUAGCUGAACAGAAACGGAACAGAGGAAAGAAACCUAUAAAACUAGAGUUAGGGGGUAGCAUGUUUAAGUUUUUCAAAGAAGAUUAUGAAUUCACCUUGUUCAAGCUUUGCAUUUUUCAUACAGUCAGGCAAGACUUAGAGCUGUGGGGAAGAAAAGGUACCUUUUAGAUUUAGAUUUAAAGGUACUGGUAAAUGGUACCUUUAUAUAUUAUUAAACUCAUAAAAAGUCUAUUACAAAAAUAUUUGUAGCACUUCUGUGAUAGAAAUAGACAAUGAUGAGCAUUUGGGUUUUCUAGUGACUGCAGAUUCCGUGUUUGAUUUUGCACAUGCUUUUGCAGGAGUAAGCAGUGUGCAUGAAGAGCAACAAACACAUUAGGAAGAUAGAGAAGGAUUAAGGUGAAGAGGUAGGGAGAGAGAAUUCCUUAAUUACUGCUCAAUUCAGCCCCUGAUUUUAAGUUAUUUUGAUGUAUUCACUAUUCCAGUUUAUAAAGUUUAUAAGGGUCUUGGGUUGAAAUGCAUCAUUUUUAAAAGCCAUUUAUGCAUUUAAGACCUUAAGUCACAGAUGGUUUGUGUGCUGCUGAAAUGAAAUUUAUUAAUGUAAAUUUGGUACCUCUUCGGCAAUGUACUUUUUUUUUUCUGGGAAUCCAAAUUGAUUUCUUCCUGCUGGGCUCCUGAUGAGUUUGUAUUAUUGUAGUUAAGAUGAAGAAACUUCAUUCUGUUCAUUUUAGGCUAAUCAAGCAAAAGUGAAAUACAAUUACUUGGUUGCAGGUUACUUGGUUAUUUGUCAGAAAACUUAAAUUGAUUUUAGAAAUGAUCAUAAGAGUUUUGGUAUCUUUCAGUAUCUAGAUCUCAGUUCUCUUUCACAGAUUUUACUAACACCUGUUCCGGCUAGUACCAAUAAAGAGCACAUCUUUUUUUUCCUGUGCAGGUGUAUUUGCUGGGAAGCCAAUAGAGGAAAUCAAGCACUUCUGUAUGUGCUAAUUAUAAAUACGAUAGGCAACACAACUGAAUUGCAUGUCAAUGCGAAAAUUAGUUGAAAAUUUAAUUUUGGAUGGAAAUUACCCAGAACAUCAAUAGAUGGUUUGGCAUCAUUUUUUUUGGCCACAGUGAUUUUGCUUCUCAGCAAGCUAGAGCUUUCGGUUUGGUGCUCUGCCAAUGCCAUCUAAGACCAUAGGCCAUGAAUUCAUGGAAAAAUAGCAACCUGUAUGCCAAUUGAACUGUCUGCUCUCCUCUUACGAUCAGAGUUGUGUAACCUGCAAAAAUCCUGUCUUGUGAAUGUUUCUCUCACCUAUUCAAAUAAUUUACUUGCCCAUACAAACAUAGCAAAUAUCCAUAAAAGAGUAAAGGAAAGAUAUCUUGAAUUUGAAAUAAAAAUAAAGUUUCUGUAAUUAUUUGCUAGUCCUGAAAGAGUUUGUGGGGGUUAGCAGCAAAGCCCUUCGCUUACAUGCAUGUAAAUCAGAGCAAUGUAUUGUGUUGGAAAGGUUGUGUAUGGCAAGCAUAGUUAUCCACUUCUCACAAAACAGCUUGAAUCAGCAACUCAGGAUGUGACUGUGCAAAGCUAAUGGAUGGGUUGUAGAAGAGAAAACAACUACUGCAAGCAAGGAAAAAAGAAAAACAAACAACAAAAAAAGCUGUACUUUCCAUCUUCCUGGCUCUAGAACCUUAAAACUUUCUUUCACUUCUGGUUUAAAUGCACCAUUAUUUCAUGGCUUAACGAAGGGCAUUCACAGAAGAUACAAGAAGUCAGAUGUACUGAUGAAUGGGGCCUAAAAAGGUCUUAGAAGGAAGUCAUGAAUUGUGUGACAGUAUUGUAAUCCCUGUCUGCUCUUCACCAAGGUGUUCAUACUAGAUUCAAGUAUUCAGCCAGCUGAACAGAUGGAUGCCUGAGACCUAUUUACAUGGACUUGUAAUGAAUUCUGUUUGUUGCCCUGUUCUGAACAAAAUGCAGACAAUUAAGAAAAAAAAGGGAAUCUGGGAUUUCAUUCAUAUUCAUCAAGGAGUAUGCUUUAUAAAGCUGUUUUCCUACUACAGCACUUAAUUCUCUGCCCUUUACAUUGCUACAAGUGGAAAAAGAGCACCAGGAAUUUUCUCCUACUUUCUCCUUUAUUUUUCCAAGCUUGAGAAAUGGAGCAGCAUCCCUUCCUCUGCCUGGGGAGGUGCGUUACAUGUUGGUGUGAGACUGUGCUGUGUGACUGAGACACCACAGUUCAGUCCUACCUCCUCAGAAGGCGGUGUCUGAUGGCAGGAUAUGCCCUUAUGAGAACAUACAUAUUUUCACAGAAUCUUCAGUUUCCUGUCAGUAAGACAUGUUAGGUAUGUUUUAAUGACAACUCCAGACUAGAGGAGGCUGGUGCUAAGUAUUUUGCAGCUAUGUAGAUAAUGCCAACAAAACAAAACAAAAAAACAAACAAACAAACAAAAAAACAAACCCAGAAGCUGAAUGUCAAGUUAGAUGUAGAUGUAAUUGGGCCAAGUAUUAACUGAAGAAAGUGGGUAUAGCAGCAGGCCUUUGAAUACUAGAGUAGGCUUGGCUUUUACCAUGAAAAAAUUUCAUUUAGACUCACAGCUAAAAAUGUCACUGCUGUGUGUGUACUCACUUCAGCUCAGAAAAUGUGGAAAAUAUGAUCUUCCAAAAUUCCCUUGUGUUUUUUAACCACACAGAAUCCUGGAACCCUCAGAGGUGAUGUGGAUACACAGAACAAUGCAAAUUUUAUGUAGUCACACAAAGUACAUGACCAAAAUGCUUUCCGAAUAUAAAUAAUACAGAUACAGAUGUCCCUCUUUGCUAAGAUGUAAGAAAUCACAAAGUGUAGUUCUAAAAUGCAAUGGCUAAAAGCUGUGUUUUCAAUUUAAAGUGAGAGCUGGGAGCAUGUGAAGAAUAAAUGAAAUGGUGAGAUUAAGCAAGACUGUGGGAUAAAUACUCUGGUUCAGAUAUAAAGGCUUUAGUGACAAUGUCAGAUGCCUGAGGGUGAGAGUGAAGGACAGAAAAGAUCAGGGUUAUAAAUAGUUUACAUAAAUUGAAGAAAUAGGUCUAAGAAUUCCAGAAGAGUAUAAGGAUGAAAUAGCAAAGAGUACAAAAAAGCCAGUGAGUAGAACAGAUGGGGAACUGAGAUUUGAGGACUGAAACAGCCAAGAUAAUAAGCAACCAACAACCACAAAGUUGGAGAAGAAAUCAUUGAGGGCAGGGAAGACAAUUGGAGCUGGAGGCUUGAAAGGCAGGAGCAAGACAGAAGAAAAUGGAAGAGAGAUGUUUUGAAGUAUAGUGAAAUCACGCAGCGCAACAUUUACUAUUUGAAAACUAAAGAUGAGUACAGGCCAAAGUCAUGAGUAUUGCUUUGAAGUGCCCAAAUGUUAGAAAAGACCAGCAAGUUUCAGAAUAAGCUCAUAUCUGACCUGAUUACUCGAAACCAAUGCUGUCUUUAUAAAAUAGGAAAAACAAAAUUGCACUUUGAAGCAAUCCUGAACUCAGUGUGCUUUGGCCCAAAUAUUGAUGAUGUAAGAAUUCUCCUUUUAAAAAAAAAUAAAGAAUUGUACCUUCAGCAGCUUUACAAACGCAGCUGUUGGGCAUAGGCUUCAAUUAUAUGUAAGUCAGUAUAUUGGUACCAGCUUGUGAAAAGAUCGUUAUAGGAUUCCUUUUUUUCCUUUUUUCCCUUCAGGGUCUUUUAGUUAACAGGAAAACCCAAGUGAACUGGUACUUCCAUCUCAGAUUGAAAUCAGCUGAAUAAAAGUUUUCUUUCCAAGAUUUCCUGGCAUGAUGGAAGAGAAAAAUCUUGCAAUCUCUGAAUCUUACGUAGUAAGUGAAUAAGGAAAUAGGAGUUUUGUCCUGUAUUUCUGAAUUGUCCUGUACAUUUCUGAAUGUAAGUCUUGUAUUUUUUUCUGAAUGGUAGAAGCACUUUCUAUGGCAAUUUCUGCACAGCACCACUGCAGUCUGAUUGUGUGGACAUACAGGUAGAUUUAAAGAAAACAAGCAGCUUUUUCAAAAUGUACUUUGUCAGCUUCAUAGUAUUUCAUCUUUGUGGUACAAUGCAAGCUGAGCAAGUUAAUGAUUAUCACUAUAUCCUUAUGAAAGGAUAGUAAUAAUCUUUCUUUCCUAUUAUUGAGGAGAGUUCUUGCUGACUCUUGACAGGUUUGCUGGUGGUGGUGUAAUUGAUGGUUGUUCUGUUUUGUUUUUGUAGCAGAAGCCAGGUUCUGCUUUAUCACCCAUUUUUUUGUUAACCUAACUUCGGCCUGUUCCAGAGAAAUAUUAUUAAACUGUAGAAUGGGCUCAGAUUUUUGGAAGCUCUGUUUUGAACAGAGUCCAGUGUGCAUGGUGUUCAAGCAGAUUACUUCCUUUGCUUCAUGAAAUGACUGAUGAAGUUCUCUCUCUUAAAAAAAAAAAAAAAAAAAAAAAAAAAAAAAAAAAAAAAAAAGGCCUUCUAUGGUGUCAUGACUGGCUGGAUAGAGGUGAGAGCAGAGGAUAUUGUUUAUCUUGACUUCAGCAAGGCUUUUUGACACUGUCUCCCAUAACAUCCUUGUAAGUAAGCUGAGGAAAUGUGAGGUAGAUGAGUGGAUUAUGAGGUGGAAUGAGACAAUUUUGCAGUAGUGCAAGAAGAUGUUAAGACUGACACUUGUUUAGCCAUGGCAUUAUAUUUUUAUUAUUUCAAAAAGCUAUUCUCACUGCACUGCAUAUGUCUUCACAGAGUUAAACAUUUUGGAUCUAAAGUAGCAGGAGACACCUAGUAUUCCUACAAAAUUAAUGGAGGAGAUUUUGGAGAUCUUCUGGUGAUCCAGUUUUUGUCCAAAGAAAUUGUAGCUCUGGUAAAUAUGAAUAGAUAAUUUCAAAAUACAUUUUCUGUACUUUUCCCUCAUCUUUCACCCAAUUCCAAGUGGUGUCUUAAUUAAACGUGAAGUGAUAUCUAAGCUAGGUCAUUACUUCUCCGCUAGUGAAAGCAGAUUAGAGUAGAAAUUGACAAAAACUUCUACAUGUCUAAGGAAUUUAAAUAGCUGUGUAAAAAAUGGGGUGUUUUUGAAUAACAUUGAGUUAUUCAACUAGAUGUUGAAGUUUUCAGCUAGCUUUCAAAAUACCCAGUCUUGGUGUGUAAGCUCUGCAUCAAGCAUGCAUCUAUUUUAGCACAUAGAUUCAGCCACACUAGGGAAAAAGGCUAUUUUUAAGACAAUGAAAUAUUUCAUCUUUUACUUGGAACAUACACUUGGUUGAUGUUAUAUGUUAACAUUUCUACAUUUACUUACUUUAACUGAACUUAUUCCUUUUUGGUCAGGGAAUAAGAAGGAAAAUAAAGUAGUACCAUAAACCAGCUACAUAAAAAGUUUUAAAAGCACAGGAAGUGAAAUGCAAACAAACCAAUUUGUUUCCACCUUAACUUUUUUUUAUUCUAUUUCAUUUUAUCAAUUCAGGUUGUUUUGCUUUCUGACAGGAAAAAUAUCUUACUUUUUUCUUCUGCUCUAAAUCAUUUUAACAUCACUGGGAAACUCUUAUAUCUUACUUCAGCCUGACGAAAAUAUUUGCAGAUGUGCAGAAACAUGCUCUACAUAUGCUUUAGAGAAUGCCUGCUUUAGAAGAUGCAGUAAGGAUAAGACAGUGAUACAUAAUUGCAGCUAAUUUUUUGGUUGACAAGUUUCAGCAUCUUAUUUUAGGUCUAUUGCAACGGUUAUGAUAGAUUUCCUUGAAAGAUUUGCUGUUGCAACAGCUUGUUGAUCAAAAUUGUCUUUCCUUGGUUGGAAUGGAAUUUGAGAAUUAAACGGGCUAAAGAAGAAACCAAAUUUCAAGGGCAGAUCAGACAAUCCUGUAAAUCUUCAGUCAUCACUCUAGAGACAGACUGAAAAUAUGAAGAGUGCACAAAUUGUUUCAUGGAAGAUCUUCAAGCAGAGUUUAAUGUUUUUGGUUUGGAGAACUGGGGUUUCUUCAUCUUAAUCAAAUUCUUGUCUCAGGCACAAAUCUUUCUCCUUUCCUGCCACAGAACAAAAAACGACCUACUUUUUCCCAGCUAUACCUUACUCUGGAAAUAGAAACACAUGCUCGUUCUGAAGAUAUGCCACUAAGGGUAAAAAACCAUCUUUGAGCUGUCACAUCACUGAAAUCUUUGGCAAAUGCAGGAAAGGAGGACUUGGCAUUCACAGAAGCUGGCUGCAGCUGUGCUUUAAUUGAUACUCUCCAGUAAUACCAUGAAAUUGAUCACUUGUUAAAAUCUGAAGCUACUUUUUAGUUCAAUAUUUCAUUUAAUCAAAAUUGCUCACGAAGAUGUAUAAUGUUUCUGUACAUACAUGACAGUUCAGAUGUGACUGUGGAACAACCUUUUUUUUCUGUCUGACCCGAGUGAUUUAGCCAUUGGACAGCAACUAAUUUGUAUAUUUAAUAAAAUCUAGAAAUGUUUAGUCUAUCCAUGUAAAGCCUUAAGAAAAAUCCCCUCAUUUUCAGAAUAGUUUCUGCAUGAAAUUUUGAUGCAUUGGUGUAAGUGUUCUUUUGGGGGUUAGUAACGUGAUUUAUAGCUGCCAACUGAAACAUGAAGUGUUUAGAAAAAAAGUGCGUAUUUAAUCUGCUAUGGUUUUUUAGAGAUGCAUCUGCAGUUUGUUUUGUUGUAGUUUUUGGAUACAUACUCCACUUUUUUCUUCAGCAAGUCCAUCCUUCUUUUGCAGCUAAAGCUGGUAUGUAAGUUUACAGAUAACAAUAUACAGACUGUAUUAGACAAGAAGCCUUGCAGAUAAUUCAGACUGGAGAUAACCAGAUCUGAAAAAAAGAUGUUUAUAGAAAUGUCUAGGUAUAGGUAAAGCCCCUUAGAGGUAGGAUACAUACUUUCACUUGCUGUAGGAAGCUGAGUGGUAGUCUUUCUAAAUGUUUUGUAAAUAUUUGGAACUUCUGCUGUAGUUUUCAAAACAGUUUUUAGAAAAGCUCUGCAUACAGACACACCCAGAAGAUUGCCAAUACUGUCUGCUGUAACUCAAUGCAGGAAUUAACAUUCUUUUCCUGUAUGCAUGCCAUAGCUGAGCUUCUGGUUAGUUUUAUCUUCCUUUUUCUUUCUUUUUUUUUUUCUCCUUGUAAAUCUCCUCCCAUGUUUGUAUCCUGUGUCCUAUUUCAUGAAUAGUUCAGGACAUACCCUCUUCAAAAAAAGAAAAUUCAGAAAAGAUGGUUAUUCUUAAGCAUUGUGGCAAAACUUGUGGUUACGCAAGUAAAAAUGGCAUUUACUUACUCAGAUUUUUUUUUUUUUUAAUUUUUAUUUAUUUAUUUAUUUUAUUUGCACAUAAGGAAGUCUAUCAGGCCUUCUGUCCAUCAUGGGCCAGUUACUGAGGCUGUAUGCCCAGUGCACACCAAUUGCAAAGCUGUGCCCACAUUAUAGUUCUGUCCUCAGAAAAAGUACACUGGUUAACAAGGUUCAUCUGACAGCACUGCCCACUCAGCUACGGGGCCACAAAUGUAAUGGGCGCAGGAAAAAUUCAAAAUAACUUGUUUAAAAAAAAAAAAAAAGUGUUUUUUGAAUAACUUGUUGGAAUGUGUAGCAUUUUUCAUGGCACCGUAUUUAUUAGCAUAGAUAAGAAAAGUGUCUUCAGUAGGCUUUCCCUGGUGAUCGUUCAAAAAAAAAGGUAAGUCUGGCCAACAGCUCCUGAAGGGAGGCAGGAAGAGCACGAUUAUGAGGCCGCCGUUUUGCAGCAGGGGGCGCCAUUUUACAGCGGAGGCCGCCAUUAGAGGGUGUAACGGACCUGAUGCUGCUCGUCCUCCUGAGGGUGAGGGAUGAGAAGGCAGAAAGCUCAGGGUGGUACAUGGCUGCAGGUAUGGGGUGAGAACUGUGAAGCUGCUGGGAGGAGAUAUGUGAGUGACCUCAGGCAAGCUCACAUGGGUAGCAACCAUAUGGUGUCACACCACAGGGGCCCCUGGGCUGAGGUAUCUGUAAAACUGCAACAUACUAACCUGCCGUCUGCAAACUGAGAUUGUGUGCUUCCUUGUUUGCCUUGUGACUGGUAAGGGUGAUGGAUAGUGCAGCUGAUAAGAUGUAGAACACAGUUAUUUUUUUGUUUUUACAUUAAUGCAAUGCAUUUCCCUGUCAGCUUGUGGUGCUCCAUUGGUGUGGUACAAUGUGAGGAUACACUGAGUGAGACCAUUGUCCUUCAAAAUUUUCUGGAGAUGAAGUCUUCUGGAGGAAAGCUCUGGGAAAUGUCUAUCCUUCCUGAAUGAGUACUGGCUCCACCUUCGGCUUUCAGCAGUCUGUCAGCCUGUUUGUGGGAAACAAAAAGGAAUCCUUGUGUUUGGCCGGAUACCCAGCACCUGCGGAACACAUAUCUACAGCAAAUAUUUUGCUUUGUUUAACUUCUACCUGAAAUAAAGCUGAUGCUAUGGAACUUCAGUUUGGGAAGAUAAGAUUUGGUUUGUUUCACUUGCUACAGUGGCACUUGGGAUGCACUAGCACAAAGCAGUUGUUGCUGAGCUAUUCAAUACAUCUUUUCUCUCCACUUCCACUGAAGGCUUUUUAUUUUGGCUAGUUGUAAACAAUGAUGGUUACUUGGCAUGGAGUUGUGGUUUUUGGUGCUGGGCUGGCUUGUAGGUCUUUUUUUUUUUCUUUUUUGCAAAGUAAUGAUUUUCAAGGAAGUCUACAGCAGUAAAGCUUUUUGCUUAAGGUUAUUCUAAGUGUAAGUAAUUGGUAACUAGAAUAGUAUUUUCUAGGGCUGUCCUAACAGUGUGGCUUUUACAUUUUUUUUUCCGGUGGGUUUGCUUAACUCUGCUUGUGACGUUUUGAAAAGCAAAAAAUGGUAAUUUGACCUGCUCUCUCUGCUGCUGUCUUCAAGUUCCCCCUCUUCAUACAACGAUGAUACCUUUUGAUAACUGUUAUUGAAAGAGCUGAAACUGAGAAAAGGUUACUUAAUAGAAAUGGACAAUUAGUUCUCUUCUUUUUCCCCCCUUCUAGGGAAUUUCAGAAUUAUGCUAAAUUAGAUGAUGGCAUCGGGAACCAAACAAUUUAAUCUCAGUCAUAACGUGUCUGAAACUGUAAGGUAGGAUAGGAACCACUCCUGACUGGAGCUGUUUUGUUCUACCAGCUCAGCUGAACAGUGCACACGGCAGUGUGAUAACACCACAGAUCUCCCAGACCUUGAGUAAGAAUCAGUUCUUUUCACAGAAAUGAAGACCAUCUCUACAUCUACAACUGUUUUAGAGACCUGAGUUGUUACACUGUUUGCAGUUAAAAUAAUGCUACCAUUCUUAGACCAUUCUAAGGAAGAACAAGUUUCAGUGUCACUUAACUUUACACUGUUAUCAAUGGUAAGCAGAAAGUUAAUGUGAUUUUGUUCCUGUCUCACUGUUCAUUCAUUCUCAAGUUAAAUACCUGGCAGUACCUCUAAUGUCAAAGUACAAAGUAUACUUGUGCAUUAAAAUUAAGUUCAAUAAUAUUAAAACCAAAGCCACAGAAACUGUAAAAAGGGGGGUUGAUUGGUGAUGGCUUUCAGCAAAAACCAAACCAAACCAAACAACCCACCUUACCUGUUCAGCGUUUAUAACAUUGCAUGUUAAAAACAAAACACAGAUCCCACAACUCUGAGAUGACCGAAUAAAUAAUAGGUACUGAGGUAGUAGGAAGAUUAAUGGAAAAAAAAAAAAGCCACGUAAAGCAUUAUUAAUAAAUGAAGCCUAUUUAUUAUUUCAAGUGUUAAUGGUAAAAAAAAGUCAGCACAGCUGUUGCAUUUAAAAAAGUGAAACUACAUUUAAGUACUAUGUUUCUAGUUCAGUAAACAGAUGAACCCGAUGUCCUUUAAUGACAUAAUAGUUGAGCAUUAUACAGUACAUCUUAUGAAGACCCGUAAAUUAAAGAACUACUUUUUAAAUUUAGUGAUUAUAAAACUUCUGCAUUCACAGCUUUAGCUUCUUUUUUCUUCCACGACCAUCAGGAGUACCAUCCAUUUUGCGCUUCUGUGCCUGGAAGGGAAGUUUUUCAAGUAAGAUAAUGUGACAGAAAAAGAUCCAUAACUGCAUUUUGAGCCAAAACAGAUGGAGAUGGUUUAACCCGGGCAGCUUUAAAAAUGUGAUAAAUCACAAAAUGUAAUGUGGCAGAUAUACACAUCCCACUCAGAAUACCAGCUGUCUUAUAUUCUAACAAUUCUGGAAGGGCAUAAUUUCAUAGAGGACAGAAAUGUUUAGAAACAAGUAAGGAUGUUAUAAAGCUUCCUUACUUAGAGAAUAAUAGUUCUAGGCACCACUUCUAUGAAUGAUUAUAAGCAACAAUUUUAACAACAAAAUCUAGCCAAGAAAACAGGUGAUUAUUUCCUGUACAAAAAAAGGCCUGUGUGUUUAGCAGUACUUUAGAGUACUUACUAUAUUAAGCAUAUAUAUGCACUUGUUUUCCCAAAUCUAGCUCUUGGAGCCCAUUUCAUGACCAACCCUCUAUCUACACAAGGAAUGCGAAGGCAGGCUCUGAUGUCUAAUUUGUAAACAAAUCUGUAGCAUUCUCAAAGUGAACUGAAAGGUUUGCACUGCCUGCCUACAUAUCCUGCUGUGGUAAACAUCCAUUUCUUUAUGGAUAAAAAUUAAUGAAAAGGCUAAAUAAAUCUCAAGUGUAUUUUAUAACGGUAAACUCAUAUAGCCUACCAACUCAGUGAUCAAAAAACAAGGCAAGUGUAUCUGUUCCAGGUACAGUUUAGAACCUGAACUUUAUUUGCCAUCCACAAGGGUAAUAACUGAGUAACCGUGUGAACUUUAAGCAGUUCUUAGCAAUGCCCUAGCAGGCUUUUUGUUGGAUGCUAUUUUUAAAUAAUUUUAGAUAUCACUUUGCCCAGACAAUCAGAAAAGCUCACCGUCUCCAAGUCCUUUUUUUUUUUUUUGUAAAAACAAUAGAAAAAAAGCACAACCAAAACCAAAGCAGCACCUCUUUAAAUCUUACCGAAGAUGGUUUUGGUCCACGUUUCUUCUUUUCUGCCUUUUCCUUUUCUUCCAGUUCCAUGUUCUCUCUUUCAAUCAGGGUGAUUAAAGUAUUGCAUCUCCUUUGUAGCUCCUAAAUCACACAACACAGUCACUCACUACUUUAGAUUGCCACUCAGUGUAAACAGCAUCAUGUCAGAAUACUAGAAAUACCUCCAAGUUGUAUGUUUUUUGUAUUUCAUGCAAAACCUUGGAAGUAGAAGGGAUUAAACAAAUACUUUAAUGAUGGUCAUUAUCUGGCUUCACAGCAAUGGGUUUGAUCACUGAUGUUGGCUUUUAAAACAAAUCUGUAUUUAAUUCAAAUUCACGUUUAUUGUGAAACACAGUAGUAACUUGAAAUUUAAAUUUCAUCUCCCAUGAAAAUUUUAUAUUACUGCAUUUACCAUCUUAAAAUUGUUGAAAAGUCUAUAAAAAUGUAAUAAACUGUAUAUAUGCACACACCUUACCCUUGCAGAAGCCAUUUAUUAAAUCUGCUAUAUACCUGCAGUGUGUUGGUGCAGGUGUUCACAGGGAAGGAGCUGGAGAUUAAUACGUACCAUUGCAGUUCUAGACUUGAGAAACCAGUCAAAUCUGAACUGGGGGGAGUUUCGGAUACACUGCCUUAAUUCAUCAUAGACAUUUUCUUUAUCAAAUCCUAGCUUGUGAAGCAUACAGAUUAAAAAGCGAUCCUCCUCUUCAGUGUAAUUCUUUCCUUUGUUAGUACCGUAUGAUAUUCUUAGCUGGUGGAAAGGGGCUUUGUAUCUGCCAAUCUUUGUGUCAAGUGCUUUUUUUAUGCUGAUCCGUCUCUGAAUUCUGGCUUCUCCUCUUUCUAUCUGAGCCAUGAUCUUCUCUAUGUCUUGGAGUUCGUUGCACCUUUCCCAGAACACAGCUGAAUACUCAAUGACUUCCUCUGGGGUUUUUCCUUCUACUUCUCGUGCUAUAUUUUCAAUAUCGUCACGGCCCCACUUCUCAUUAGCUUUGAUGAACUGGUUAAAAUCUCUCUUAUUCCAGUUAGUAAAUCCCUUUGCAGCAAUUAAAAGCAAACAUUGCAAAAUUCAGGAUUUGUCCAUCUCCACAUUUGUUUUAACAGAAUUUUUUUAAAUGCCUGAAGAGUAACACUUGCAUCAUAGCAACAAUGUAAACCUGUGCUUUUCCUGCUGUUUGAUGUAGAAGAACAACAUUUUUAUAUUAAACUCAUUGUAAUCUCCCUAUGUAAAAACUGCCAAAUGAUUAGCACUGGUUCUCUAAUUACUACUUUCAGAUAAAAUUAUUUAGGUCAUAAGUGAACCCCUUUAAGACUGAGAAUCCCUCAAGAGAAGCAAGUAGUCUCUACAAUGGCUUUGUUCAGUCCAAGGACCACCCAGAUAUCAUUAAGCUCCUGUGCCACCCCCAGACUCUUGCCCUCAGGACGCCUGUUGUGUAAUGUUAUUCGAUAGGGACAGAAACAGCACUGCUGAAGUUAUCAGCUGCCAAAAUUGGCUAAUGGCACAUAGUAUUAACAUUAAAAAACUGGUACAAAGCCAGCCACACGAUGAUUUAACCACAGCUUGAUUGUACCAAUAUUUACUAGCAACUCUUUCACUGCACUACUACUCAAACAAUAGUUUGUCUUACCCACAGAAAAUACAACACGAUACCCAGACAAAUAGGCAUUAAUCUACUUUGAAUUAUUUAAAUGCACAAGCUAAUAAUCAGGUAGCUGCUUAGCUGAUAUCUUCUUUAAGAGCAGAACAUUAUUAACUUCAAAUCAUAGUUUAAGAAACCUGAGCCUUCAACCCACAGCACAUAGUUACAUAUGAGAGUGGUGAGUAAAGAACGUGCUUCACACUAUGUGAAAAAGGAGUACAUUCAGCCUUGCAUCUAGUUUGCAUGGUUCUGCAACUGAGAAAAGAUGUCACAGGCUACAGUCUGUGCAAACCUGUGAAGCCAGGCUCAGACACCGGAUAGCUCUUAAUCAUUAGGCUUAAAAAUACACAGAAGGUAGAUCAUGUCUGGUAUACUCUGAAUGCACUAACUACGUAGGUAGGCAUCCUUCAAAAAGGUAUCUACGCCCAUCAUUACAAACCUCAUGUUAAACUCUUUUUCAGUAGUACAAACCAAAAUGCGCAGCCUUUAAUUACUUCAAAUGUGGCAUUUAUAAAUGGAUGACAAAAAAUUGUUCAUAUAAAGCAGUAAAACAAAUCAAGCUUCAGAUGAUGUCAGUAUCAUUACAGAACCAACCAUACCUGGGUUAGAAGCUUCUCUUUUUCUUCUAGUUCUUCAUCAUUGAGAGGUUCAGCCUCAUCAAUCUUAAGCUGCUCUUCCUUUUGCGCUUGGGCUGCAUUUGGAAGAUCAGGAU
rnacentral:lncRNA from 1 species